UUCCUGCUACAUCCUACUCCUUUUCCCUUGUCCCAUAGAAGAUUCCAAAUUGCAGUGGUAUAUACUGCUAAUGAACGGGAUCAACUAAUUGCAAUACCUCUUUGUACCACAUUAAUCUGGAUUGCUUCUUCACACUUGCUGUACUGAACAGUCCAAACGGUGAGCAGUUCUGAUCUUUAAUUAAUUCGAUUCUACCAUUUAGGAAAUACUAACCACUUUCUCAUUGUUUAAUCGAUCUAGCUAGAUGGAAUACAUUUCUCAUGUGUUUAUCUUGCUUUGAAUAAUGUGAUCAUCUUUGAUUAAUGGCUGGAGAAUCUCAGCAUCAUUUACCUUUCUGAUUUCUCAUGAGCAGUGGAGCAUGAAUAAUUGAUGAAUUUGGGGGCGAAUUUUAUAAUACUUUACACCACAGUGUUUGUACUAACUACUAAGGUCAUUCUAUAACACUGUUAACAUGUUUGAUUUCAAAGAUACUUGAAGUGUUUUAAUUCAACACCAUGUGAAGCAUAAAUUUUGUGGCGCUAUCAAGGGCAAACAUUAAUUCAUUAUACUCAAAACAGGAAAGCUGGGGGUAUGCAUUUUGUUGUCAAGAAUUUGAGCAAUAAAAUAGUGCCACUAUUCUAUAGGCAGCAGUGCUCACUAAAUGGAAAUAUUAGUUAGUCAGAGCCUUGUAUGUGUUAUCAUGAUUGAAUGCUCGUGGUAAUUACAAAAUUCCUUUGAUUUUGACUGAUGUAAAUAAAAUAUGUACAUUGCAUUACAAUUUUUUGCUCUUCCAUGUGCUUGUGACGUGACAGAGAACGAAGCUAUUAACAUGUCAUCUCGCAAACGCAUUGGGCCUCCCACCCAUUCCAAGAUAUAAGUAACGACCAAGACUUGGGUAAGUAACAGCCACCAGCGCCUACUAAUUGCGACAUAACACUUUAGUGUAAUGAACGCUAUUGUUUCAGACAUGCAAAAUUAGUGCAUGUGACUAUGAACAAGCUAAGGAGUAAAAGGGUCUAAAAAAGGUAAGGAGUUAAAGAAUCAGAGGAAUAGAGAAUAUUAUGCACGUAGUAGAGACAAUAUUCUGGCUAGACGGCGUCAAGCCAACGAAAUCUGACACACGUUCAUACAAAUCUGGAAUAUGCCAUAUCUUCUUAAUCUGCCCGAUGAUUAAAUCUGACACACGUUCAUACAAAUCUGGAAGUCACACCUGCAUUGAUAUUCUAACAGGCCACAUCUGACUUGUAACAUUUUAGUAUUUCUUCACUUUUUUGUAAUCUCAGUUUAGUUUUCAGCUGCAAUGCACCAGCUGUUUGUUUAACAUUUAAGUUUAGCAUCUUUGUAUCCAGCAUGCAAGUCUCAAAUGCAAUGCAUCAGCUGUUUGUUUAACUUUCCAGAUUUGUGCAGAACACCUUACUUUGCCAAGUAAUUUGAUGAAAAUUGUCUGCAUGUUUGGAAAAUGCAGGGAUAGCACCAUCCGCAGGACAUUGUACUAGUACGUACUUAUAUAUGAACAAGUCGAUCUGGGGGCAAAUAAACUUCUUUUCUCCGAGCAAUCAAUAGGAGGUCACUUCUAACACCAUGUUAGGGCAAGUCCAGUUCCCCUAAAAUGUCUCCCCUAUAUCUCAAAAUAGGGGACUCCCCUAAAAAUUUUCUCCCCUAAAAAUUGUUCAACCCCAGCAGUUCCCCAAAAAGAUCUCCCCUAUUCUAUUUGAAACCCAACGGCUACCUCUCCAACGACUAGUUUUUGAACGGCCGCAUUUCUAAUGGCUAGUUUUUUAAUCUAUAUAUAUAUGAUCAGCUCGCUCUCAUAUCUCUCACAAUCUUGCUUCUGUCUCCUCUUCUACUUUGUUUUCACCAUAUCUCUUGCAUCUUUCCACAACAAAAUGAGUCGCCGCCGAAGCUUGGCACGUCAAUUUUGUGAAGAUUCCUCGUCUGAUGAUGAGGAUCUCAUGAUGGUUGCAGUCAUAGCCGAGGAAGAAUAGGCGGGGUUGGAUGCUCCGUGCCAUCGAGGUUCACUUCCAAGACGACAUUCUCUUCAGCGCGAAUUUGCGGAAUGCUUUCAGUGUCUCCACAAAGACUAUUUUGCUGUGAAUUGUACCUUCAACGCAAGGAUGUUUCGCAAUAGGUAUAGAAUGCACCGUCCUCUUUUUCUCACAAUAGCAAGAGUUCUAGAGGAACAUGAUAGCUAUUUUUCCUUGAGAAGAAAUUGUGUCGGUACUCCUGGUUUACAUCCUUAUCAAAAGUUGACCUCCGCAUUCAAAAUCCUAGCUUAUGCGAUAUCAGCUGAUGGUACCGAGGAGUAUUGUCGGCUAGCAAAGUCUACUGCUUUAGAUAACCUUAGAUCAUUUGUGCGUGCUGUGAUUGAGGUCUUUGGUGGUCGCUACCUGAGGAUCUCCAAAUGCUGAAGAUACUGCUAGAUUACUUGCAAUUGGAGAGCAAAGGGGAUUCCCCGGUAUGCUCGGAAGCAUCGGUUGCAUGCAUUGGCAGUGGAAAAAUUGCCCUACUGCACACAAAGGUUUUUUUGUUGGCCAUAAUCGUGUACCCACAAUCAUUCUUGAAGCCGUUACUUCACAAGACCUUUGGAUCUGGCAUUCUUUCUUUGGUUUACCGGGAUCCCAUAAUGAUAUAAAUGUUCUUCACCAUUCACCUGUGAUCUGGCAUUCUUUCUUUGGUUUACCGGGAUCCCAUAAUGAUAUAAAUGUUCUUCACCAUUCACCUGUGUUUGCGAAUCUAGCUGAAGGGCAUGCUCCAGAAGUGAAUUAUACCAUCAAUGGUCACAACUACAACAUGGGGUAUUACCUUGCAGAUGGCAUAUAUCCGUGAUGGGCCACAUUCGUGAAGACAAUUCCAAAUCGAACAACUGAAAAAAAUAAACAUUUUGCACAAUGCCAAGAAGUUUGUCGGAAGGAUGUUGAAUGAGCCUUUGGAGUUCUGCAAGCUCGUUUUGCCAUUGUAUGUGGACCAGCAAAGUAAUGGGAUUUGGAAACACUCGGAGAAAUCAUAACAGCUUGUAUCAUCUUGCAUAACAUGAUAAUAGAAGAUGAGCGUAAAAGUCAUGUAGACUACCGAUUUCAGAACAUGGGAGAAUUGGUGAUACCUUUUCAUGAAGAGGCAGCUACAUUGACUCAGUUUCUUCAAGCUCACAGCGCUAUUCGAAACAAAGAAAUUCAUUGUCAGCGUCAAGUUGAUCUAGUUGAGCACUUGUGGCAGAUUCGCGGAGAAAUGUAGCUUUCAUAAGUGGUAGUAAUAAUGUAGUGUAUGAGAUCUCUAAUAUGUUUUUAAAUCAUGGUGGGGUAUAAGCGGUGCCUGUAUCAUUUUCUACAUAAUGCAAUGUUUUUCUACAUAAUGCACAUUAACAAAAUUGCAACAAUUUCAUCUAUUUUUUUCCCUCUCCUUCUAUUUCUAUCUCUUUCUCCCUCUCCACCUAUUUCUUAUCUCUUUCUCCCUCUCCGUCUCUGCUUCCUCUCCUUCCCAACAGAGCACCUCGCUUGCGCAUCUUCCUCGCCCUCACCCUCUUUGCUUCCUUUCUUCCACACCGAGCAGCCUGUGUGCUGGCCGCCGCCCGCAUCUGUGCUUGCCCCUGCGCCUGCCUCUGGCCGCCGCCCCUCUCGCCCCUCGCGUCUGGCCCUGGCCGGCUCGUGGCGGGAGAAAGAAGGAGGGCGGGGACGUGGUGGCAAGCUCGUUUUGGCGGGAGGGACGACCUCGUGCCGAUAGGGGGAGGGAUCGGGCUACCCGAUACAUCGGGGAGAAGGAGGCCUGGAUCAGGGAAGCCGAAAUUUGGGGGAAGCUUUAGGGGAACUGCUGGAUGUUGAUUUUUGGUUUUUUCCCUUCAAAUUUGGUAAAGGGGAGGUUUUAGGGGAGCUGCUAGACUGCUCUUAUACCCCUGUCGGGACGCCACCCUAGCCUAGACAACGUCCUCUCUUCCCUUGGGCAGUCAUGGGCCAAAGUCGCCGACUGUGAUGCGGAUGACCGACAAGUGUGGACAAGGAAUGCAAGGUAGAAGGGCUCGCAACCCAUGCUAGGUGACCCAUCGGGGUUAGGAGUUACCAUGACGGAGACACAUGUGGCAAGGACGACUGGCAGCACCCGGUGUAGAUGCAGGGUUGUGAAGAAAGGCGAAGAAAGGCUAGCGGUGCCAGUGAAAGAACCAACAGCGUGUGGUGAGGAGGGCAGGAAUUGUGGUGGUGGAAAAUAAUGACGGGAAUAUAUCGCGACACGCCCAUGCUAGGGUGCUAUGUGAUUUGACUAUGCCAGACGGCCGUCUACGAGCAAGAGAUUUCAGAGAUGGAUCCGCUCGUGUAGUGGUUUGAGCUCAUGUUUCUUGUUGUUCAGUCGUUCUCUGAAGAGUGAAUUCCAUUUUUGACACUUAAGUUUCAGGUUUUUGACAGCUUUGAUCCCAUUUAGUAAAAUUUUCAUUUUUUGACCCCAUUUAACAAAAGUUUUACCACAAAUGACCCCAUUUAAUUGUUUUAAACCUCAUUGUUCGAUCUGAAUGCAUAUAUCUGCUGCAAACAAAGAGGAGCUAGCGAGAUCUUAGUAUGUCUUCUGAUAAUCAUGUCUGAGAUAACAAAAUUAACCUGUGCUAAUGCCUGCAGAGGAUUCAACGUCCUUUUUCUAGUGUCUUGUUGCACGACAUGAUUACCAUGGCAUUUAGCGCAUUUAGUGUCAUAGUGUGUAGCAAUAUAUGUCAUUGUUGUAUAUUCAAAUUUUGGGAGCUAGUUAAAUCUAUUUAUGCUAGCACCCUUGCAAUCUGUUGGACUAUUUACCCACGUAAAAAUUUUUGGCAGAAGGGAAUUUAUACGUCCUUACAUGUGUUUAUGGUGUUGUUCUGAUCUUCCUGAUCCUUCGCCUGCAUCUUCACCUGCUUCAGUAUGUCAUUCAGGACUUAAUUAGUGUCGAUGUUAUGGGACACGGUGACCUUUUGCUUAAAUUGAACCCAGCAGUUCUGGUAGAGCGCCAAGGCAGCUGUGAUUUUUUCCACGCCGCCGAAUCCGUAUAUGAACAGCUAGCAUGCAUAGAUCUUGGCUCCCACCAUAAAUGAUUCACUUCUAAAGCUCCUUCACGUCCUUUUCUACUCUCACGGGCUCUUAGAUGCCGAUGAGCCCACGGUCAAAAAUUAAAUGGGGUCAUCCAUGGCAAAACUUUUGCUAAAUGGGGUCAAAAAGCGGAAAUCUCACUAAAUGGGAUCAAAGUUGUCAAAAAACUGAAACUUAGGGAUCAAAAAUGAAAUUCACUCUUUUCAGAAUUAUAUUUAUCUGUAAGUUAAUUUUGAAGUUCCUUUAGGACUCAUUUGGUUGUAUCAUUUUCGGUGGGGAUCAACAAGAAAUGAUGGGAUUGUAGUUCAAUCUCUCUUGAUUCUCUCCAAUGGCUUCGGGGAAUGGUACAACCGAACGAGCACUGGGCAAAAGAUGCUUCUCCCGGCGUAUCGAUUCAGAGGAUCGUUAACUCGGGAGCAACAAGCCUGCAUGCAAGAAUCCCUCCUGCUCCUCCUAGAUCAUGAAGCCUCGUUGCUUUUCACUGAAGUUAUGUCAAAGAAGCCUCCUGCUACAGUAUUGCUCAUCUUUUUGAAGGAAUUCAUCUUGUUUGAGACAAUUUCAAGACAGUGCAUGAGCAUGGUCAUUCUCAAAUGGGCCGUGGUUGAGCACGAAGCCGGCCAGCUGAGAGCAACCAGGAAACUGGGCUGGGCUCGUCGCCCCGUAGCCAACGAUGCUGUGAUCAAUUCCGAUCCACUUGAGCGUUCUGUGGCCGAAGAAAGUGCACAUGGGCACAUUUGGUACGAGUAUUAUUUUUUGGGUCUGUUUUCUGAGUAAAAAACAGUCGCCUGAAAAUACAAAUAAAAACAGUCACCUGCUCGUUUAAUAGAAACCAGACAUCAUGACCAGAAUCAUGCUCUUUGAAUAAACUACAGUAAGGGAAACACACUAGACUAACUGCUGGCCCUUUGGUCAGGUAAUAC